AUUGAACGCUGGCGGCGUGCUUAACACAUGCAAGUCGAUCGGUAACAGGUGUAGCAAUACAUGCUGACGAGAGGCGGACGGGUGAGUAAUGCUUGGGAAUCUGCCUAUUAGUGGGGGACAACCCGGGGAACUCGGGCUAAUACCGCAUACGCUCUACGGAGGAAAGCCGGGGACCGCAAGGCCUGGCGCUAAUAGAUGAGCCCAAGUCGGAUUAGCUAGUUGGUAGGUAACGGCCUACCAAGGCGACAAUCCGUAGCUGGUCUGAGAGGACGACCAGCCACACCGGAACUGAGACACGGUCCGGACUCCUACGGGAGGCAGCAGUGGGGAAUAUUGGACAAUGGGGGCAACCCUGAUCCAGCGACGCCGCGUGGGUGAAGAAGGCCUGCGGGUUGUAAAGCCCUUUCGGGUGGGAAGAAAAGUCUCGACCUAAUACGUCGGGACCUUGACGUAACCCA
rnacentral:rRNA from 1 species